rnacentral:rRNA from 1 species
GACGAACGCUGGCUGCGUGCUUAACACAUGCAAGUCGAACGGUGAAGCCCUUCGGGGUGGAUCAGUGGCGAACGGGUGAGUAACACGUGAGCAACCUGCCCCUGGCUCUGGGACAACCACUGGAAACGGUGGCUAAUACCGGAUACGACCCGCCUCGGCAUCGAGUGUGGGUGGAAAGUUUUUCGGCUGGGGAUGGGCUCGCGGCCUAUCAGCUUGUUGGUGAGGUGAAGGCUCACCAAGGCGACGACGGGUAGCCGGCCUGAGAGGGCGACCGGCCACACUGGGACUGAGACACGGCCCAGACUCCUACGGGAGGCAGCAGUGGGGAAUAUUGCACAAUGGGCGAAAGCCUGAUGCAGCGACGCCGCGUGAGGGAUGACGGCCUUCGGGUUGUAAACCUCUUUCAGCUCCGAAGAAGCGAAAGUGACGGUAGGAGCAGAAGAAGCACCGGCUAACUACGUG